GAUGAACGCUGCGGCGUGCCUAAUACAUGCAAGUCGAGCGAACGGACGAGAAGCUUGCUUCUCUGAUGUUAGCGGCGGACGGGUGAGUAACACGUGGAUAACCUACCUAUAAGACUGGGAUAACUUCGGGAAACCGGAGCUAAUACCGGAUAAUAUUUUGAACCGCAUGGUUCAAAAGUGAAAGACGGUCUUGCUGUCACUUAUAGAUGGAUCCGCGCUGCAUUAGCUAGUUGGUAAGGUAACGGCUUACCAAGGCAACGAUGCAUAGCCGACCUGAGAGGGUGAUCGGCCACACUGGAACUGAGACACGGUCCAGACUCCUACGGGAGGCAGCAGUAGGGAAUCUUCCGCAAUGGGCGAAAGCCUGACGGAGCAACGCCGCGUGAGUGAUGAAGGUCUUCGGAUCGUAAACUCUGUUAUUAGGGAAGAACAUAUGUGUAAGUAACUGUGCACAUCUUGACGGUACCUAAUCAGAAAGCCACGGCUAACUACGUG
rnacentral:rRNA from 1 species